AUGACCUAUGACUAAAGGUUUUUUCACAUUCAUUACACUCAUAAGGUUUCUCCCCAGUAUGGACUCUUUGAUGCUGAAUAAGAUUAGUGCUCUGACUAAAAGCUUUCCCACAUUCAUUACAUUCAUAGGGUUUUUCUCCAGUGUGGGAUCGCUGAUGUAUAACAAGCUGUGAUUUUGCAUUAAAGGCUUUUUCACAUUCGUUACAUUCAUAAGGUUUCUCCCCAGUAUGAGUUCUCUGAUGUACAAUGAGGUGAGACUUUUGGCUAAAGGCUUUCCCACAUUCAUUACACUCAUACGGUUUCUCUCCAGUAUGAACUCUCUGAUGUUGAGUAAGGCCUUCAAUUUGUUUAAAGCCUUUCCCACAUUGAUUACAUUCAAAGGGACUUUCACCUGUAUGAGUUCUCAUAUGGUAAGUAAGAGAUGAGCUAUGUCCAAAGGCUUUUCCACACUCAUUACAUUUAUAAGGUUUCUCCUUAGUAUGAGUUCUUUGAUGUAUAAUGAGGUGUGACUUCUUGCUGAAAGCUUUCCCACAUUCAUUACAUUCAAAGGGUUUCUCACCUGUAUGAAUUCUCAUGUGUUUAGUAAGGGAUGAGCUAUACUUAAAGGCUUUUCCACAUUCAUUGCAUUCAUAUGGUAUUUCACCUGUAUGUGUUCUCACAUGUUCGGUAAGAGAUGAGUUAUACCUAAAAGACUUCCCACAUUCCUUACAUUCAUAUGGCUUCUCACCUGUGUGAGAUCUCACAUGUUGAAUAAGGUUUGAGCUGUGUCUGAAGGUUUUCCCACAUUCAGCACAUUCAUAGGGCUUUUCUCCAGUAUGAAUUCUUAGAUGGUCAGUGAGUGCAUGUUUAUGACCAUGGGCUUUGCCACACUGAAUACAUUCAUAUGGUUUUUCUCCGGUGUGAGUUCUCUGAUGUACAACAAGGUGUGACUUUUGGCUAAAGGCUAUCCCACAUUCAUUACAUUCAUAUGGUUUCUCCCCAGUAUGAACUCUCUGAUGGUCAAUGAGUCCUUGUUUAUGGCUGAGAACCUUUCCACAUUGAUUACAUUCAUAGGGUUUCACACAAGCUUGAGGUUUUUCAUGCUUAGUAGAUGAGCUAAGGCUGGGUGAUUUCUCAUGUUUCUCUCCAGUUUGAAUUUUGUCCUGUUUAAUAUGGGAUGAACUAUGACAGCAUAAUUUGUCAUGUUUUUUGCCAGUUUUGUUACACUUAUCAGAUGAGCUAUGGCUGGAUAAUUUCUCAUGUUUCUUUCCAGUUUGCUUUUUGCCUUUCCUUGUAUCAGAUAAGCUAUGGUUGAAUGACUUCUUGUGUUCU
rnacentral:lncRNA from 1 species